rnacentral:antisense_RNA from 1 species
AUUUUAACCACCUUUUCUUAAUGAAACCUGGAUUUCAAGCACUAUUUCCUAGUAGAAAUUGAAUAAUGUAGUAAAGAAAUCGACUACUUCAUUUCUAAAUUUAUAACUCAAAUCCAGGAGCAGGUUUAGUCACACUGAGUCUGAAUUACCAGCAGAUAGUUUUAAUGAAAUGUUCACAAAUGACUAUAUUGCUACGUAACAAGAAGAAUAAAUUGUGCUGUUUACACUUCCAAGAAAUUAAAGGGGAUGAAAGAUACAUUGGUCCCUGCAGUGGGAAGUUUCCUUGACAAUGCAAUUAUUGAUUCCAGGCACAUGACAGAAUUGCUCUGUUGAAGUUUUGCAAGGUCAAAUGACUCACUUUGUCUAAUGGAAUGGGAACGAACAAUUUUUUUGUGUCACGUUUGAACAGAUACCUUUGAGAAGUUUAUGAUUCUCCAAGUUCUCUUUCUCCUACUGUGGCACCUACUGACAAGAUAAAUGUGUAGAGGUUCCUGAGUCUAGGGGCACUGGAACCAGCUGACUGAUCUAUGGAAGUUCCCUUGGUCUACAUUUGUUUAGAAAAGGGACUGGUCAAAGGCUGACGUUUGCUUUUGGUGACAUUGCAUUAAUUGUCUCCCAUGAGACUGCUAGGGUGCUGAAGGGAUGAAGAAACUGAGGCCCACAGAAGGUGGGUGAUACCUGCAAAAUCACAAGCUUUCAUGGUGAAAGAAGAGGGCAAAACUCAACCCGUCUCUUCAGACUUGGGAAGAAUAUGAAAGGACCAGGAGGGACACCUUUCCUAAUAACCUAGCUGAUGGUUCACUUAUUAGGCUGGAAAGCUAAAAAAUGACAUUCCCAGACUCCAUUGGAAUUAGAUUUCCAGAGGUUGUCUCACUAAGCCCAAAUUUGUCUAACUGGCCUUAUUUCCCUGGAGUAUACCCUGGAAGUCUCCAUUCAAGCCAAUUUAAGUUACUUUAAAUUAGGAAAGGCAGAAAACAAAAGCCCAAACCUUUGUAAAGGAGGAGGAUUUGCUACAUUGUUCUCAAUUCAUCACAGAAGAGGAUGAAACUGAGUGAUUACACUUGCUGGAGAGAAAAAAAGUCCUUCCCCCGCUCACCCCAAAUAAAGCAUUAACUGUAUGUUAAUCCAUGAA